AUCUCUUAUUUGUUGAGCAACUUCCUGGCACAGAGGCAAAGGAAGCUGCAGUCCUCUCCCUGGGGAAUUCAUCAUCUCCUGGAGAGCAGGAUGUAGCCAAAGAAAAGAAUCUGGAAUGGAGAAAACUGUCAGAGGAGAGGCUCCAACACCAGUGCUGCAAGAGAUGCUGGGUUCACAAGGUCGAGGGAGCUCCACGUUGAAGGGUUGUCGUGAGCACUACUGAGAUGAGGACCCGAACUGCUUACCGCAGAGCCUGCUCUUUGGACGCUGGACUCUCAGGAGUGGAUCUCCGUGCUGACGUUAGUAAGAAGACAGCAUCCAGCAUCCUGACGCUUCUGUCCCUCUGAACUGCAGCUGACUUCUACAAAUCCAGUCUCCAAAUGAGUCCUGUCCUAAUUUAUGCAAAGACAUCCACGUGGGUCUAUAGCCCGAGCUGUCCCGUCUUGGGAUCAGGCUAUGGGAGUGGAGAAAAUAGGUGGGAACUUCCUGAUGUCCCCCCAUCCCCCAGGACUCAGGUUUGUUGACUCAGAGUGGAGGAUGAACCAGGCAGCAGGGAAUGUCCAGGAGAAAGGGCCUGGCCUGCGCUCCCAAAUCCUGGCACUGCGCAUCUGGAGUGAUCAGCACAUCUGGCUGCAUCCCUGGGGCAAUGGCCACAGCUGCUGACAUUUGGGGGAGGAGAGAUGUAGCUCCUCAGCCAGGGCCUGGGGAGCUAUAAAUAACUAGCUAAGAGGACCAGGGGGAUGAGUUUGACCUUUGGGGGGGGGCGAGAGCGCCUGGCGACUUUCCCCCACCCCCUUGGGUCCGGAGCCAAAGUUUUAGCAAAACAGGAAGAGGCAGCAGCAGCUGCUGGGAAAGUAGGAGUGGCUCCCCUUCCCCCACUUGCCCGGGGCCUUCGGAUCCCAGCCAGGACCUGGGAGAGGUGGAGUCUUCUAGGCUGGGGUGAGGGGAGGGGCAGACCCACGCAGACUGUGGCCCCAGCUCCUGGAGGCCUCUGAUGAUGGGCUCAGCUGGGGCCCAGGCGAGGGAGGGUGAGGCAGAGGAGGGCAGCCUAGUGGGCUGUGCCUGUCACCCCAGCCCCCUCCUGUUUCCUUUCUGUUCCCCCAUCAGUGGGACCACAGGAAGGACCAGACAUUAGAAAUGGAGCAUAAAUAUGUCUGCAAUCCAGCCAGUGCAUCUAGGGGCCCACCUGUCUCUUCCAUCCCCUCCCAGCCCACAUGUGGGCUGAGCCUAAGCCCAAGUAGGUAGGAGAGAGGACUCUGGACAGGAGGAAGGGUGCUUCGGGGCUUCUGGAGUGGAACCCAAGGCCUGGCCCCAGUGGAAUGAUGGAGAACUUCCCUGCGAACUAUUGAGGUGGGGAGAUCCAAAGCCUGGAGUAACUGGUCCCCAGGAACAAGCUCUGUAGAGCUGGGAGCCGGCGCAGAGGGCCUCAGGAAGUCCACCACGAAAGGAGUUGUCCAGGAACUAUCGCUUUGCUUUGCUUUGCCUGGGGGAGACUGGCCACUCUGGCGACAUCUGGUUGAAACUUCGGCUGGCCCACAUCUCCAGUGGGUCUGUAGCUUUAUCUUUCAUGACCUGUCACUGGAGCCACUCAGCCUGGAGUCCUGCAUUUUGUGUGCAGGGAGGGGCUAGACCAGCACCACCCAAUAGAAACAGAAUAGGGGCCAUGGAGGUAACUUUACAUUUUCUUUAAAAAAAAAAAAAAAA
rnacentral:lncRNA from 1 species